UACGGGGGGGGCAAGCGUUGUUCGGAAUUACUGGGCGUAAAGGGCUCGUAGGCGGCCAACUAAGUCGGAUGUGAAAUCCCCAGGCUCAACCUGGGAACUGCAUCCGAUACUGGAUGGCUUGAAUUCGGGAGAGGGAUGCAGAAUUCCAGGUGUAGCGGUGAAAUGCGUAGAUAUCUGGAGGAAUACUGGUGGCGAAGGCGGCAUCCUGGACCGACAUUGACGCUGAUGAGCGAAAGCCAGGGGAGCAAACGGG
rnacentral:rRNA from 1 species